GACCUCGGAUCAGGUAGGAAUACCCGCUGAACUUAAGCAUAUCAAUAAGCCGGAGG
rnacentral:rRNA from 1 species